UUUUAUACGACCGCAAAAAAAUUUUUGUGGUCGUAUAUUGGUAUGACGUUGGCGUCGUCGUCGUCGUCGUCGUCGUCGUCGUCGUCGUCGUCGUCGUCGUCGUCCGAAUACACAUUAGUUUUCGCACUCUAACUUUAGUUUAAGUGAAUGGAUCUCAUUGAAAUUUUACCAUAAGGUUCAAUACCACAAAAGGAAGGUGGGGAUUGAUUUUGGGGGUUAUGGUACUAACAGUUAAGGAAUUAGGGGCCAAAAGGGGCCAAAAAUAAGCAUUUUUGUAACUUCCAGACAUAACUUGUGUGUAAGUGUAUGGAUCUCUCUGACAUUGUACCACAAGGUUUCAUAUCACAAAGGGAAUACUGGGAUUGAUUUUGGGGGUAAUUUCCUCCAAAUAUUAGGAAUUAGGGGCCAAAAAGGGGCAAAAAACAAGCAUUUUUCUAGUUUCAUGACAAUAACUUGUUUGUAAGUGUAUGGAUCUUUAUGAAAUUGUACUACAAUGUUCCAUAUCACAAAGGGAAGGCUGGGAUUGAUUUUGGGGGUUUUCCCUCAAAAUUUUAGUAAUUAGGGGCCAUAAAAGGGCAAAAAAAACAUGCAUUUUUCUAGUUUCAGGACAAUAACUUGUGUGUAAGUGUAUGGAUCUUUAUGAAAUUGUACUGCAAGGUUCCAUAUCACAAAGGGAAAGCUGGAAUUGAGUUUGGGGGUAAUUGCCCUAAACGUUUAGGAAUUUGGGGCCAAAAAGGGGCCAAAAAACAAGCAUUUUUCUAGUUUCCAGACAAUAACUUGUGUUCAAGUGUAUGAAUCUCUCUGAAAUUGUACUGCAAGGUACCAUACCACAAAGGGAAAGCUGGGAUUGAGUUUGGGGGCGAUGAAUCAUAAGGGGGUUCAAAAAAUUGGGGGGGGGGGGGGAUUUUUUUUUUCCUUUUUUUUUCUUUAACAUUUUCCAUUUUAAAUUGGUUAUUUCUGAUUUAUAUAUAAAAGCAAAUAAUAAUGAUAUGGUUUGAAUAGGCAUACAUGUGAACCUCCCGACGGGAGUACAAUAAUCCCGUUUUCAGGGGUCUCCUCCCCCCCUCCCGUUGAAAAAAUCCCGUGUAUGAAAUUUUUCAUGAAUGAAAAAUUUCUGCCCAACAUAACAUCUCAGGCAUCUGGUGUAACUGACAUUACCUGAAGUUAUAUUUUACCUGUAAAUCAAUUAACAUGCAUAAUUAUAUGGCUUCACUUGUCAGCUUGGGUGUCAAACAUACUGGUAAGCAACGAUUUUUACCUCAGGCUAACUGCCGUUGUGUAACAAAAACUGUGUAUUUAUUGGGUUACUUCCCUUGAUUUAUCCUGUUUUAAGUUACUUUCCUUUUAAUAAUGAAAAUUUUUAAAAGAAUAUAAAUAAUAUAUAAAUUGAACAAAUAAUCAUAAAAGGAUGGUUAUUAAAUGAUUUUAAAUGUCUUUGGACAAAUAAAAAAAUAAUAAUUUGAAAAUUAUUUGAGGAUUCUAUACUUCCUUUUAAGGCUUAAAUUGAAAUUUAUAUAAUAACUAUGACCCUAACUUUACAGACUGAAUGAAUUUCUGAGUUUGCAAAUAAAAACUAUUUGCAAGAGAAAAAAAAAAAAUAAAAACUGUUUGCAGACAGCUAAACAAAUGUUCUGGUUGCAAUGAUUGUUUUAUAGAAU